UCUUCGGGAUCUUGAGAGCGGCGCACGGGUGCGGAACACGUGUGCAACCUGCCUUUAUCAGGGGAAUAGCCUUUCGAAAGGAAGAUUAAUGCCCCAUAAUAUAUCAUAUGGCAUCAUUUGAUAUUGAAAACUCCGGUGGAUAAAGAUGGGCACGCGCAGGAUUAGAUAGUUGGUAGGGUAACGGCCUACCAAGUCAGCGAUCCUUAGGGGGCCUGAGAGGGUGAUCCCCCACACUGGUACUGAGACACGGACCAGACUCAUACGGGAGGCAGCAGUGAGGAAUAUUGGACAAUGGGUGAGAGCCUGAUCCAGCCAUCCCGCGUGAAGGACGACGGCCCUAUGGGUUGUAAACUUCUUUUGUAUAGGGAUAAACCUACCCUCGUGAGGGUAGCUGAAGGUACUAUACGAAUAAGCACCGGCUAACUCCGUGCCAGCAGCCGCGGUAAUACGGAGGGUGCAAGCGUUAUCCGGAUUUAUUGGGUUUAAAGGGUCCGUAGGCUGAUGUGUAAGUCAGUGGUGAAAUCUCACAGCUUAACUGUGAAACUGCCAUUGAUACUGCAUGUCUUGAGUGUUGUUGAAGUAGCUGGAAUAAGUAGUGUAGCGGUGAAAUGCAUAGAUAUUACUUAGAACACCAAUUGCGAAGGCAGGUUACUAAGCAACAACUGACGCUGAUGGACGAAAGCGUGGGGAGCGAACAGGAUUAGAUACCCUGGUAGUCCACGCCGUAAACGAUGCUAACUCGUUUUUUGGGCUGUUCGGGUUCAGACACUAAGCCGAAAGUGAUAAGUUAGCCACCUGGGGAGUACGUUCGCCAAGAAUGAAACU
rnacentral:rRNA from 1 species